UAUGAAGGGGUUAAUGUUGCCAACAGUCCACUACGGGCCAGCGCUGGUGGGUAUCGCUUCCGCUGGUAUGCCCAAAGACCUGAGGAAGGUCGGAACCUCUGACAGGUGUACCAGAGGGUGCGUUUCGCCAUAUUUUACUGCCAGUAAGCCGUAUCGAGUGCUCUCGGAGCUGCCUCCAUGUCAGAGUGUAAAAAUUAAGCCAGGCAGGCACACUCAAAAGUGCUGAUAUGAAAACAGUAACCAAACAAAAAUUAACAGUCUAGUCAUGUGUGCUCACUCGUAUAAGGCCAUAUUCC